rnacentral:rRNA from 1 species
AUACGUAGGUGGCAAGCGUUGUCCGGAUUUAUUGGGCGUAAAGCGAGCGCAGGCGGUUCUUUAAGUCUGAUGUGAAAGCCCCCGGCUCAACCGGGGAGGGGCAUUGGAAACUGGAGAACUUGAGUGCAGGAGAGGGGAGUGGAACUCCCUGUGUAGCGGUGAAAUGCGUAGAUAUAUGGAGGAACACCAGUGGGGAAGGGGGCUCUCUGGUCUGUAACUGACGCUGAGGCUCGAAAGCGUGGGGAGCAAACAGGAUUAGAUACCCUGGUAGUCCACGCCGUAAACGAUGAGUGCUAAGUGUUGGAGGGUUUCCGCCCUUCAGUGCUGCAGCUAACGCAUUAAGCACUCCGCCUGGGGAGUACGACCGCAAGGUUGAAACUCAAAUGAAUUGACGGGG